GACCUCGAAUGCAGUGGCAUUAAAAUGAUUGACAUAAGUUCAGAUGGAUUCUCUCUCUUUUUGCUUAAUGUUGAUGAGGGAUUCCGAACCUCUCCGGGGACAUCGGCUGCUGACGAAAUGAGCCACAAACUGAUGACUCAUUUGAUCAAAGGAGAAGAUAGUAUCCAGCUUCAGUGCCGAGUACCAGUUCCUCGCUGCUCCCUUCAAGGUGGAUGGGAAAGCUCGGCACAGGACGGCGUCUGGUGCACCAUGGAGUAACAUCAUUGUCUGGAAGACCUCCAGAUGGUCAACCGGGUCUGAGGUCCCAUCGUAGCUCUCAAAUUGGGGGAGUU
rnacentral:lncRNA from 1 species